AGGAGUGCAGCCUCAGUCUCAGCAGCUGGCCCACAGCCCACCAUGCUGAUGUGUACCUGCUCUGCACGCCACCGCUCACACAGCGGGAAGGAGGGGUGAGGAGGGGGGAUGACAAAUCGGAAUUCACCAAAUUGCUGAUACACAUAUGCAGGUCUGAGGUCCUGUAUCGAAUUAGAUGCAGAGUACUGCCAUGGGC